rnacentral:rRNA from 1 species
GCUUGGGAAUAUGCCUUUGAGUGGGGAACAACAGUUGGAAACGACUGCUAAUACCGCAUAACGUCUACGGACCAAAGAGGGGGAUCUUCGGACCUCUCGCUCAUUGAUUAGCCCAAGUGAGAUUAGCUAGUUGGUAAGGUAAUGGCUUACCAAGGCGACGAUCUCUAGCUGGUUUGAGAGGAUGAUCAGCCACACUGGGACUGAGACACGGCCCAGACUCCUACGGGAGGCAGCAGUGGGGAAUAUUGGACAAUGGGCGCAAGCCUGAUCCAGCCAUGCCGCGUGAGUGAUGAAGGCCCU